rnacentral:rRNA from 1 species
UACGUAGGGUGCAAGCGUUAAUCGGAAUUACUGGGCGUAAAGCGCACGUAGUCGGCUUUGCAAGUCGGUUGUGAAAUCCCCGGGCUCAACCUGGGAACUGCAUCCGAGACUGCAUUGCUAGAGUAGUGGGAGAGGAAAGCGGAAUUUCUGGUGUAGCAGUGAAAUGCGCAGAUAUCAGGAGGAACACCGGUGGCGGAAGGCGCCACUCUGGGCCGGUACUGACGCUGAGGAGCGAAAGCGUGGGGAGCAAACAGG